UCUGCCUGCCAACAGCAGGCCUGGUCACCGGGUGUGACCUAUGCAGUUUCACCAGUCCCCACACUCGGGGAGGCCCGAGUUCUGUCUGAGUUGCUUCUGUCACUGUCUUGAAAUCUGUGAUGACUUAACAAGGGGCCCGCACUCUUACUGUGACCGAGAUCUGCAAACUGUGUGUCCAGUCCGGGCUGGCAAGGAGUGAGGAGGUCCCACUUGGUAGAGCCGGUCACAAUGGCUGCUUCCUUCCUGUUGGAAUUUAGAGGCAUUGUUUGAUCUAUGCAGCUUAAUCAAGCUCCUCUUAAGUUUUCCCAGAGGGUCAAGAAGAAUGUUUACCCCUUUGAGGAACAGGAGCGUCGGAGGGUUUGGGGGUGCCAGCAGCUGAUGUCGCCCAGGCUGAGAAAAAACGAUGUACUUGUCAUCUCCUCUCCAGUGCAGGUGGAAGAUGUGUUACAAACGCCGCCCGGUGUGUUGCCAUGGCAACCAAGGU
rnacentral:lncRNA from 1 species